CAUUGCAAUGUUGACAGAAGGUGCAUCACCUAUUUUAACUCACUCGGAAAGACGGAGUGUCAAUGCCAAGCAAUUUGCUCAACACUGGUGUACAUUUGCAACCUCAAGGGGAGUUAAAGGAGAGUGGGACCUCAAAACCACAAAACACAGUUUGCAACCGAUUCGGUGUCAUGUGGUAUCCACACACUUGCAUUUGCCACUGAAAAGGCUGGUGGCUUCAUUACCUCGUUCCAGUGCCCUGUAAUACAACAAGAGAGGAUCCGCCUGGCCUCACUUUUGUUUCAAUCCAUAGACGGCAUGUACCUGUGGGGCAGUGAUGCAUGUAGAGUGUGCAGCCACACCCAUGUGCUACAUAUGUCAAGGUUGGCAAAAAAGAUGUUCCACCCAAUGUGCUUCAGCAGCCUAGAAAGGGAAAGACAAAGGUGACAAUAUUCAGCACUUUAACAGAGGGAGAGGCAGAAGAUCUUGCCAGGGGGUUUGGAAUGGCACUGGCCAAACAUGUGCCAAAAGACAAACUACUCCCAGGGAUUCCUGAAGAGGACAUCCCAGCAACACUGUAGGUUCUCUUUAUUUGGAAUCAUAUCUUCUAAUAUAUUGGUGGCUGCACCUCUAUUUUCUAUGAGAAAAAUAACCAUUUUGGAGUUAGUUAAGAUGAAAAAAUAAGCAUUAAAUAUCUUGUUCAGUCUGACAUCCGUAUCUUUUGAAAAAGAUGGAAACCCAUCUGCAUCUGCUAAACAUUUAAAUACAUUUUAAGGACUGGGCAUCUUGGAUGUCUAAAAGUUGCUUGCUUUUAAGGGCCAGAUUUACUUAGUGUACAAACAGUGAUUUACUUACAGUG